rnacentral:rRNA from 1 species
AGGACGAACGCUGGCGGCGUGCUUCAUACAUGCAAGUCGAACGAGAAGCCAGGGCUUGCUCUGGUGGAAAGUGGCGGACGGGUGAGUAACACGUAGGAAACCUGCCUUUUAGUGGGGGACAACAGAGGGAAACUUCUGCUAAUACCCCAUAUGAGCGUAGCUGAAAUGCUAUUCUUGAAAACUCCGGUGCUAAAAGAUGGGCCUGCGCCUGAUUAGCUAGUUGGCGGUGUAAUGGACCACCAAGGCGACGAUCAGUAGCUGGUUUGAGAGGAUGAUCAGCCACAAUGGGACUGAGACACGGCCCAUACUCCUACGGGAGGCAGCAGUAGGGAAUUUUGCGCAAUGGGCGAAAGCCCUGACGCAGCAACGCCGCGUGAACGUAGAAGCCCUUCGGGGUGUAAAGUUCUGUCAGAGGGGACGAAUUUUGACGGUACCCUCAGAGGAAGCACCGGCUAACUCCGUGCCAGCCGCCGC